rnacentral:lncRNA from 1 species
GUGAGACAUCACGGUGAUGGCAGGGGCAGAGGAUGUCACUCUCCUGCUCUGCGCCUUGUGCCCUGUGUUCCUCCCUGACAUGCGUGGCAGGAGACUUCCAGUUGCAAGCUUGGACCCCAGGAUUCAUCAGGAUGACCAAAGGAAGACAGAAACAAGUGUGUUUUCCAGUUCCCUGUGGGUCUUCUGCCUUUGUUGCCUGUUGAGCCCUUUACUGGUGACAUAUGUGACUUUUCAGGGCCACUGUAAACAACUUAUUUGGAGGACUGUCUACAUUGGUUACAUCCACAGACCCACAUGGCUUAUUCUACUAUCACAAUAAACAUCUACAUCUUCUGAAAGGAAAACGAGCCUUGUUGGGUCUGGACUGGGUGUCCUGAAAAUGUGGGCCCCUGAGACAUGUGGACCCUUCAUGGGCUGUUUUGGCUGUCAUGAGCAUUUGGUCCCCUGGUUCCAGCCACUCUUGAUGUUUGGUUACUAAGGACAUCAACUGGGUUCAUGAAUAUCCUUCCUAGAAUCUUAUAGCUAAAAGUGGUACUGUAGCAAGUCACAUAACAGCAAUACACCACAAGAAAGAAAUUAGAAGUGCACAUUCUAAAGAACAAGAAAGUAUAGAAUUUGGUAUCUCUAGCUCCACAUUGGUCCUCUGGCCUUAAAGGUAAGAGCUAUCAUAGUUAGAAAGAAGAAAGUUUCUAAAAUUGUGACCCCCACCACCAGU